AGGCCUUUUGUGAAAAGAAUGCACAAAACUGAUUGAGGCUCAUGGUGAUGCAUUGUGCUGGAUCGAAGUCAUUUGCAUAGCAUCAGUAUGAAUUGGUAAAUACAUAUACAUACAUCUUUAAUAAUUUUUUUAGAAUAUGUGUGUGUCUGUGUAAUUACAUUCAUAAAUUUUAAAAGAAUAUUGAGACAGGACAGCUACCCAGGUGAAUUGACAUCUGCCAGAGGACCCAUGAUCGGACAAUGGGGGAGUGGCUUUCUGGGACUAGGAAGAGCAUAUAAAUAUUAAUUGAUUAAGUUCUAUAUUUCAAUUUCAUUAUGAAGUUUAGACUUUUGAUUAUAUUUAUUUUUUUCUUUAAUUAGUAGCGAAUGAUGGAGAUACGAUCCCAGUCCAUCGUUGAGAGCUCCACCCCACCCAUAGAUGAUGAUAUCUGUGAUGAGGUGCUUGGU
rnacentral:lncRNA from 1 species